rnacentral:tRNA from 1 species
GCCUAGCUGGCUCAGUCAGUAGAGCACAUGAUUCUUAAUCACAGAGUCAUGGUUAAGCCCCAUGUUAGGUG